UACGUAGGUGGCAAGCGUUGUCCGGAAUUAUUGGGCGUAAAGGGUACGUAGGCGGAUAAGCAAGUUAGAAGUGAAAUCCUAUAGCUCAACUAUAGUAAGCUUUUAAAACUGCUCAUCUUGAGGUAUGGAAGGGAAAGUGGAAUUCCUAGUGUAGCGGUGAAAUGCGCAGAGAUUAGGAGGAACACCAGUGGCGAAGGCGGCUUUUUGGCCUGUAACUGACACUGAGGCGCGAAAGCGUGGGGAGCAAACAGG
rnacentral:rRNA from 1 species